CUGGCGGCAUGCCUAACACAUGCAAGUCGAACGCCCCGCAAGGGGAGUGGCGCACGGGUGAGUAACGCGUGGGAACCUGCCCCGAGGUGGGGGAUAACCGAUGGAAACGUCGGCUAAUACCGCAUACGUCCUAAGGGAGAAAGAUUUAUCGCCUUGGGAGGGGCCCGCGUCGGAUUAGCUAGUUGGUGAGGUAACGGCUCACCAAGGCGACGAUCCGUAGCUGGUCUGAGAGGAUGAUCAGCCACACUGGGACUGAGACACGGCCCAGACUCCUACGGGAGGCAGCAGUGGGGAAUAUUGGACAAUGGGGGCAACCCUGAUCCAGCAAUGCCGCGUGAGUGAUGA
rnacentral:rRNA from 1 species